rnacentral:rRNA from 1 species
AACGAACGCUGGCGGCAUGCCUAACACAUGCAAGUCGAACGAGACCUUCGGGUCUAGUGGCGCACGGGUGCGUAACGCGUGGGAAUCUGCCCUUGGGUUCGGAAUAACAGUUGGAAACGACUGCUAAUACCGGAUGAUGACGUAAGUCCAAAGAUUUAUCGCCCAAGGAUGAGCCCGCGUAGGAUUAGCUAGUUGGUGAGGUAAAGGCUCACCAAGGCGACGAUCCUUAGCUGGUCUGAGAGGAUGAUCAGCCACACUGGGACUGAGACACGGCCCAGAUUCCUACGGGAGGCAGCAGUGGGGAAUAUUGGACAAUGGGCGAAAGCCUGAUCCAGCCAUGCCGCGUGAGUGAUGAAGGCCUUAGGGUUGUAAAGCUCUUUUACCCGGGAUGAUAAUGACAGUACCGGGCGAAUAAGCUCCGGCUAACUCCGUG